UGUUGGAAAUUGAUAUGUUGAUAGUGU
rnacentral:piRNA from 1 species